AGAGUUUGAUCAUGGCUCAGGAUAAACGCUAGCGGCAGGCCUAACACAUGCAAGUCGAGGGGCAGCAGGGAAGUAGCUUGCUACUUCUGCUGGCGACCGGCGCACGGGUGCGUAACGCGUAUGCAACCUACCUUUAACAGGGGGAUAAUCCGAAGAAAUUUGGUCUAAUACCCCAUAAUAUUGAUUAAGGCAUCUUGAUCAGUUGAAAGUUCCGACGGUUAAAGAUGGGCAUGCGUUGUAUUAGCUAGUUGGUGAGGUAACGGCUCACCGAGGCUACGAUACAUAGGGGGACUGAGAGGUUUUCCCCCCACACUGGUACUGAGACACGGACCAGACUCCUACGGGAGGCAGCAGUGAGGAAUAUUGGUCAAUGGACGCAAGUCUGAACCAGCCAUGCCGCGUGCAGGAUGAAUGUGCUAUGCAUUGUAAACUGCUUUUGUACGAGGGUAAAAACAGGUACGUGUACCUGGUUGAAAGUAUCGUACGAAUAAGGGUCGGCUAACUCCGUGCCAGCAGCCGCGGUAAUACGGAGGACCCGAGCGUUAUCCGGAUUUAUUGGGUUUAAAGGGUGCGUAGGCGGACUGGUAAGUUAAAGGUG
rnacentral:rRNA from 1 species